GACGAACGCUGGCGGCGUGCUUAACACAUGCAAGUCGAACGAUGAUGCUGGAGCUUGCUCCAGUUGAUUAGUGGCGAACGGGUGAGUAACACGUGAGCAAUCUGCCCUUGACUCUGGGAUAACUGCGGGAAACUGUAGCUAAUACCGGAUACUUUCACCGGAGGGCAUCUUCUGGUGAUGAAAGAAUUUCGGUCAGGGAUGAGCUCGCGGCCUAUCAGCUUGUUGGGGAGGUAACGGCUCACCAAGGCGACGACGGGUAGCCGGCCUGAGAGGGUGACCGGCCACACUCGGGCUGAGACACUGCCCAGACUACUACGGGAGGCAGCAGUGGGGAAUAUUGCACAAUGGGCGCAAGCCUGAUGCAGCAACGCCGCGUGAGGGAUGAAGGCCUUCGGGUUGUAAACCUCUUUUAGCAGGGGAGAAGCGAAAGUGACGGUACCUGCAGAAAAAGCACCGGCUAACUACGUGCCAGCAGCCGCGGUAA
rnacentral:rRNA from 1 species